GAUGAACGCUGGCGGCGUGCCUAAUACAUGCAAGUCGAGCGAACGGACGAGAAGCUUGCUUCUCUGAUGUUAGCGGCGGACGGGUGAGUAACACGUGGAUAACCUACCUAUAAGACUGGGAUAACUUCGGGAAACCGUAGCUAAUACCGGAUAAUAUUUUGAACCGCAUGGUUCAAAAGUGAAAGACGGUCUUGCUGUCACUUAUAGAUGGAUCCGCGCUGCAUUAGCUAGUUGGUAAGGUAACGGCUUACCAAGGCAACGAUGCAUAGCCGACCUGAGAGGGUGAUCGGCCACACUGGAACUGAGACACGGUCCAGACUCCUACGGGAGGCAGCAGUAGGGAAUCUUCCGCAAUGGGCGAAAGCCUGACGGAGCAACUCCGCGUGAGUGAUGAAGGUCUUCGGAUCGUAAAACUCUGUUAUUAGGGAAGAACAUAUGUGUAAGUAACUGUGCACAUCUUGACGGUACCUAAUCAGAAAGCCACGGCUAACUACGU
rnacentral:rRNA from 1 species